CAGUCGCCCGGGAAUACGUAGGUGGCAAGCGUUGUCCGGAAUUAUUGGGCGUAAAGGGUGCGUAGGCGGUUUGACAAGUCUUAUGUGAAAUCUUCGGGCUCAACCCGAAGUCUGCAUGAGAAACUGUUGAGCUUGAGUAUGGGAGAGGUGAGUGGAAUUUCCGGUGUAGCGGUGAAAUGCGUAGAUAUCGGAAGGAACACCUGUGGCGAAAGCGGCUCACUGGACCAUAACUGAUGCUGAGGCACGAAAGCUAGGGGAGCAAACAGGAUUAGAUACCCCGGUAGUCCCUGUCUCUUAUACC
rnacentral:rRNA from 1 species